UACGGAGGGGGCUAGCGUUGUUCGGAAUUACUGGGCGUAAAGCGCACGUAGGCGGCUUUGUAAGUUAGAGGUGAAAGCCCCGGGGCUCAACUCCGGAAUUGCCUUUAAGACUGCAUCGCUAGAAUUGUGGAGAGGUAAGUGGAAUUCCGAGUGUAGAGGUGAAAUUCGUAGAUAUUGGGAAGAACACCGGUGGCGAAGGCGGCGACCUGGUCCAUUACGU
rnacentral:rRNA from 1 species